AGCGAACGCUGGCGGCAGGCUUAACACAUGUAAGUCGAACGCUCACCUUCGGGUGGGAGUGGCAGACGGGUGAGUAACACGUGGGAACGUACCCUUUGGUUCGGGACAACUCUGGGAAACUGGAGCUAAUACCGGAUACGCCCUUUUGGGGAAAGGUUUACUGCCGAAGGAUCGGCCCGCGUCUGAUUAGCUAGUUGGUGGGGUAACGGCCUACCAAGGCGACGAUCAGUAGCUGGUCUGAGAGGAUGAUCAGCCACACUGGGACUGAGACACGGCCCAGACUCCUACGGGAGGCAGCAGUGGGGAAUAUUGGACAAUGGGCGCAAGCCUGAUCCAGCCAUGCCGCGUGAGUGAUGAAGGCCUUAGGGUUGUAAAGCUCUUUUAUCCGGGACGAUAAUGACGGUACCGGAGGAAUAAGCCCCGGCUAACUUCGUGCCAGCCGCCGCCGUAACAC
rnacentral:rRNA from 1 species